UGUGCACCAGUGGGGUCCCUCGGCCUGGUCUGUGGCCUCUCACAAUCCCAGACCCCCAGGGGAUGUUGGAGAGCUGGUUUCAGCCUGAUCCCACAGGCCAGGCUGAGGGACCCCACUGGUGCAGG
rnacentral:pre_miRNA from 1 species